rnacentral:rRNA from 1 species
AUUGAACGCUGGCGGCAUGCUUUAUACAUGCAAGUCGAACGGUAACAGGCCGCAAGGUGCUGACGAGUGGCGAACGGGUGAGUAAUGCAUCGGAACGUGCCCAGUCGUGGGGGAUAACGCAGCGAAAGCUGCGCUAAUACCGCAUACGAUCUAUGGAUGAAAGCGGGGGACCGUAAGGCCUCGCGCGAUUGGAGCGGCCGUUGUCAGAUUAGGUAGUUGGUGGGGUAAAGGCUCACCAAGCCAACGAUCUGUAGCUGGUCUGAGAGGACGACCAGCCACACUGGGACUGAGACACGGCCCAGACUCCUACGGGAGGCAGCAGUGGGGAAUUUUGGACAAUGGGCGCAAGCCUGAUCCAGCAAUGCCGCGUGCAGGAAGAAGGCCUUCGGGUUGUAAACUGCUUUUGUACGGAACGAAACGGUCCUGGUUAAUACCUGGGGCUAAUGACGGUACCGUAAGAAUAAGCACCGGCUAACUACGUGCCAGCAGCCGCCGUAAAAC